UACAGAGGGUGCGAGCGUUAAUCGGAAUUACUGGGCGUAAAGCGCGCGUAGGCGGCUUGUAAGUUAGGAGGUGAAAGCCCGGAGCUCAACUCCGGAAUUGCCUUUAAGACUGCAUCGCUAGAAUCAUGGAGAGGUUAGUGGAAUUCCGAGUGUAGAGGUGAAAUUCGUGAGAUAUUCGGAAGAACACAGUGGCGAAGGCGACUAACUGGACAUGGUAUGACGCUGAGGUGGCGAAAGCGUGGGGAGCAACAGG
rnacentral:rRNA from 1 species